UUUUCCUUAUUUAAAUGGUGCAUAUAAAGUCUCUCAAGUAAGAUUUUUCCCUCAAGUAUUUUCUUGCACCAUAUCAUCUAAUUAGACUAUUCAAAUGACUGCUUCCCUGCCCCAUCAUAAGAAUCUUCAGGUGCAUAAGAAUUAAAGUUUUCUCCCCCCAAGACUACCUCCCUGCCCCAUCAUAAGAAUCUUCAGGUGCAUAAGAAUUAAAGUUUUCUCCCCCCAAGACUACCUCCCUGCCCCAUCAUAAGAAUCUUCAGGUGCAUAAGAAUUAAAGUUUUCUCCCCCCAAGACUACCUCCCUGCCCCAUCAUAAGAAUCUUCAGGUGCAUAAGAAUUAAAGUUUUCUCCCCCCAAGACUACCUCCCUGCCCCAUCAUAAGAAUCUUCAGGUGCAUAAGAAUUAAAGUUUUCUCCCCCCAAGACAACCUCCCUGCCCCAUAUAAGAAUCUUGGAGUGUUGGUACAGGCCAGUGAACGCCCCCCUGCCCUCCUACACCUCCUGUGCUGCAUUUGUUGUGUGCUACACUCGACAGACUCUCUGUUCUCCAGUGUCAAGGAAUACACUGCAUGACUGGAAGACUGAGAUGCGCCGCCGCAUCCUCAACAUCCUAUUGUGUGAUUCCUCAAAGGGUGCCUUAUUAAACAAUUCCUAUUA